CUCCUAAGGGAAAGGAUUAGGGGGAUUAUAUUAUUAUUGGUUAUCGCUGGGAGGAGGUGGGGGACAGCAAGGAAGAAACCUCUGGUGCUGGGGAUUCGGCCUAAUCAGAGCAAUUAUUAGCUCUGCUCGUGGAGCUCGCUCAGCAGGACGGUUUCGACAGACCCAUCCGCCUCCCCUUGCCUUUCUUUCCGGGGACCCAGAGGUUGGAAAAGCGGCUUCUUCCCGCAUCAACUAGCAGCCUGGGACGGCGCAUUCCUUUGAGCUAUGGCAAAUGGUAUUUUCCACUACUGCUGAGAAACAUCUGCCUGGCUGGCAGACAAAGCAGGACUACGGAUUCUUCCAAUCCCAGGCCUCACCACAAACAUGUGUGUUUCCAGGCUCAUUUCAGAGCUUGCAUUGACUGUUGCACUGCCAUCUUAUAUCCAUUAAAGUAUCCGUUUAGAAGGCCUGUGCUGAGUUCUGUGACUGGAGUCAUCUAAAGCUCCCACGAUCAGGAAUUUUAGUUUCAAUAAGACUGGAUUCUCUGUCACAGGACUUCUCUAACUUCACUCAUUUGACCUUAAUACAUUGGGAUGCGAUCCGUUUAUAACAGACCUGGACAAACUUUGCCCCUUCGGGUGUUUUGGACUUUAACUCCCACUCCUGGCAGGAAUCAGCCAGGUCUUAAAGCUGCAAGGCUUUUCAAUGCUAAUCAAGGGGAUUAACUGCAACAUUCACACUUGAGUUCUUUCUCCCACCCUGGACCUUCCACAGGGAUAUAAACCUCAACAGACCUCACAACCUCUAAGGAUGCCUGCCAUAGAUGUGGGCGAAACGUCAGGAGAGAAUGCUUCUGGAGCACGGCCAUACAGACCGGAAAACUCACAACAACUCAAUCAGUUGCCAGUUAAUACCUCCUAAACAAAGUAUGCCCCCAGUCCAGUUUUUUGCAGGCUUUGCGAGUGUAAGAGAGAACCAAAUCCUGUUCUGAAGUGUCACAGAUUGUUGUGCACAUUGGAGAAGUUUUCAUUACUUUGGUGGCGCAGUGGGUUAAACCCUUGUGCCAGCUGAAUUGCUGACCUGAAGGUUGGGUUGUUGACCUGACGGUUGGCAGUUCGAAUCCACAAGACAGGGUGAGUUCCCGUCUGUCAGCUCGGGAACAUGAGAGGAGCUUCCCAGCAGGAUGGUAACACAUCCGGGCGUCCCCUGGGCAACAUCUCUGUAGAUGGCCAAUUCUCUCACACCAGAAGCGACUUGCAGUAUGUUUUCAAGAUGCUUCUGACAUGAUAAAAAAAGUCUAGUUUGAGAUAAUUUUCUGUACUAACCAGCCAAGGCAUCUUACAGCAAAAACAGCAAGCACUGGUCCUGAAACCUAUUGAACGGCAGUGCUAUAUUUUGCCACAUAUUUUCUGACUAAUGGAAAAGAGAAACAAAUAUAUGAAAAUAUCACAAGGAGAGCACUUGCAGCUUUGCCGUAGUCGCCUCAUUAUGUUUGCACCUCUCACAUUCCCUUGUCUCACAUUGGGCCUUCCUCUCUGGCACUCGUCACCACUUAUAUCUGCCACUCUUGCUCCUUGCGCACUCUUCAUUGUUUUGCUUAUAGCUUGGCCAUGCUUUGCUUUUGGGUCCUGCUCUUGCCCUUGCAUGUCUCACCCUCCCUCUCCUCAUCCUUCUUCUCCUCUUCACCUUGUGCUGCCACAUUCCUUCCCUCCUUUGCCUUGCACCCAUGUGCGGAACCUCUCACGUUCCCUCCUUUUCUCCCCAGCUCUGCAAAAUGCGUGCCUCCCCCUCCCCUUCCCAUUUCACUUUAUGUUGCCACCUGCCUAUAUACUCUGAAGGAGCAGAGCCUGUGCGCAAAGCUAUCAAAUGCCGCUUUAAACAAAAGGCAGGAAGCCAGACAGGUAAAGGUAGUGAAGCUUCAAUGGCUGCAAGGCAAAGAAAGGGAGCAGAAAGAAACAAAGCAAAGGAGCAGGAGCAACUGCAAAAUGAGAGGCACAUGUGAAAUGGGCAAGGCGCAGGGAUGGCUUCGGAAAAAGGCAAACACCAAAAAAGAGUGGGCCAGAACAGCGAUUCCAGACCAUUUUCCAGAAUAUGGUUUUUUUUUCUUCUCCCAGAAUGGAUACUACUACUACUACUAUUACUAAUAAUAAUAAUAAUAAUAACAACAACUUUAUUUUUAUACCCCGCCCCAUCUCCCCGAAGGGACUCAGGGCGGCUUACAUGGGGCCUUGCCCAAUACAACAAUCAAACAUCAAUACAAAGCAAGAGCACAAUUAACCCAAUAAAAACAUCAACAUCAGUAAAAAACAAUCAUUAAAAUCAGCAAGAAGCAUACAAUGUUAAAAACUAGAGAAGCAGUCGCACUGGAAUUUCUAUGGCUAAAAAAAAUCCAAAACGUUUUGCAAAAUUCUAAAAGAAAUCCCCACUUGUUGCAAAAUCCCAUAACAAAACCUUUUUUUGCAAAAUUCCAAAAUGAAACCCCCCAUUUUGCAAAAUUCCAAAACAAAGCCGCACGUUUUGCAAAAUUCCAAAACCAAAGCCGCGCAUUUUGCAAAAUUCCAAAACAAAACCCCAAAUUUUGCAAAAUUCCGUAACAAAAAUUCCAUCUCAUCUAGUCCAAUUGAGUUUGGUAGGUUGGACUUCCUGUGAAAUUAGUUUUGAGGGGUAUCUUCUGCAGAGCAGAUGCUUUGACUGGAACGGACACAAGAAAGUGGUUCCUGUGGAAUGGCUGUGGCCAGGCAUAUUAUGUGUUUGCAUGACAUGCCGAAUCGUUAUCUUCUAUACAAUAAUUACAGAUGCAGGAGCCACCUCCUCUUUUCACAGUAGCAACUCUGAUUCCCAGCCUUAUUUAAGAUGGAAGGACAAAUCUUGCACAGAACCCCAGGAGUGCCAGCUGCAUAAGUGAGAAACAGGUCCAAUCCUACCACCCAUCCCUUCAAGCAUCAGAAAGCAUGUGUGCAUGAGGGAGAGAAAGAGAGAACGCAUGAAUGAGCCUAGUGGCAAGCUGUGGGAAGGUAGAGCUGCAUACCAAGCAGUCUGCCCAGAGUUUGACAAACCGGUUUGCUCACAUCCAGUGCAGUGGAGGGUUCUGUUGUGUCACCAGUGUUGCAAGAGGAUUCGGCUUCCAGUCCAUUCAGCUCGCGCAUGGGGAAUUACCUGCGCAAAGGGAGGGUAUUUCCAGCUUUUUUUUUGCCUCAGCCUUUCCUGUUGCCUUGGCCAAUGCUGGUGACAAAGGUUGCAAGAGAAGGCCCUCACCCACCCCAUGGAAAUUGAUUUAUCUUGCAACCAGUUUCCCACUUUGUGUACUAUGCAAGAACCUCCAGUCCUUCCCUGUUUGCAGAAUGCAAAAUCUUGGCUGCCGGCCAAUUAAAGAUUUUUAGUCAACUUAAACAUGCGGCUUUCCGGCAACAGCUAAUCCAUGCAUCGACGGGUUUCAAACAGCAAAAUGGCUUGCAUCCAACUGCACAUGGAUGUGUAAAGUGGCCAAGAUGUGUACAAAAAAGGAUGUAGAUCCACUCUCUUUAGCAGUAUAAGAGAAGAAAGGAUUUGGCAAGCACCAUCCAGGACAUCAAUGUCGCAGGAUACAAAAAGUUGCAUCUGCUGCAGUUCUACCUCCCUGUGCAAAUAAAGUUGCUGAUGGACAUUGCAGGUCCUGAAUGUUCAGGUGCCAUGUAUCUAGAGAUGCGUGAGGGAUGAAUUCCCGGUGUUUCUAAUUCUCCUGGAUACAAAUACACCAGCAGCUCAGUGGUUUAACCUGCUGCACCACCGGGUUAACUAUGCCUAUUUCCUCUUAUUCAUGCUUCUAAAAUGCAUGUUCUUGUAAUAUAUGUGUUGUGCAGCUUUGGGCUUUCCUUUCACUUCUGAGUGCAUCAACAGCUGCACGUCCUUUGGCUUGAGUCCUGUUGCAUCAUUGGCUACAACUCUACUUGUAGAGCUUGCUGUGGGCUGGGCAGACCCAAACUUUUCUAUCAUUGCCAAUUCCUUUUCUUCUUCUGCCAUUUUCUUGUUUUCUUCCACAACUACUUUUGUUGUCCUUUGCUUCUGUUUAUUUAUUUGCAACCUGCUUCUCCCUCCCUCCCUGUCUCUCCCAUUUUCGGCAUCCUCUCCUUCCAUCUGCCGCUCUUUCUGCCCUUCCUUUUCUGCCUCGACUUGCAGGCUGCCAAGGGGAUGGCCAGGUUAUUGUCACCAGAGACUCUGAGCCAAAUACUUGCAGAGGGCUUUUGAAAUGUAGGCUGCGGGCUAUAAACAGCUCUAGCUCACCUCGCUGUGUUGGGGGACUCAAUGCCAUUCUUCUUCUUCCAGGCGAACAGAGGCCUGGAGAGAGCGAGAGAGACAAAUCUGGCAGACUUCUCUCCUGUGCUUUUCCAUUGGGCCACAUUUCCUUUCUCACCUGGCUGUAAUGCUAAGGAAGGAAGGAAGGAAGGAAGGAAGGAAGGAAGGAAGGAAGGAAGGAAGGAAGGAAGGAAAGAAGGGGCUUUGCUUUUUGGAGGUAGCUGGUGAGCAAAAGGUUGCCGUGUGUCUCCAUGGAGACAAGACAGCAAGCCAGACAGUGCAUGUGUAGAUCUGAGGUUAAAGCUGAUUAGCAAAUGUCAGCGGGAUCAUGGCAGCAGUGUUUCUCGGACUGCCCUCCAUCAGCGUUGGCGUGAGUCCCUGCCAGAGAGGGAAACGCAGCAGUCAAGGGCAGGCUGAAAGGAGCGGAGUGAGGGCUGGGAGAGGGGGCCCUGCCUUUGAAAGCUUCUGCUCCUUCUUCCAAGGCGCAACAUUAAAGAAUUCAACAACAGAGAACCUUUCUGCAGCUGCAAAGCGUAUCACCAUCACUGCUGCUUUACCUUUGACCAUCAGCACAGCAAACGCCUUCCUAUCCAGGCAAAUUUGUUUUCUUUUUCUUUUUUUCCCAACUGCCUUCAACAACUUCAUGCAUUCGAUUUAUAAUUCAGUUCAAAUCAGAUAAAUGUAUGAUCACUUCACGUUAUAGCAUCUCUAUAAAUAACUUUCCUGACCUCCAAGCGUGUCAUAACUUAAAACAAAUAAAUAAAAUUGACACAUAAUAAAAACAUAAACAAAGCCAUGCUUUCAAACAAAGCCAAAAUGUUACAGUAGAGACUCACUUAUCCAAGCCUCGCUUAUCCAAGCCUCUGGAUAAUCCAAGCCAUUUUUGUAGUCAAUUCCAUACCUCACAACCUCUGAGGAUGCCUGCCAUAGAUGUAGGCGAAACGUCAGGAGAGAAUACUUCUGGAACAUGGCCACACAGCCCGAAAGACACACAACAACCCUGUGAUCCCGGCCAUGAAAGCCUUCGACAACACUUUGUAGUCAAUGUUUUCAAUAUAUCGUGAUAUUUUGGUGCUAAAUUCGUAAAUACAGUAAUUACAACAUAACAUUACUGCGUAUUGAACUACUUUUUUCUGUCAAAUUUGUUGUAUAACAUGAAGUUUUGGUGCUUAAUUUGUAAAAUCAUAACCUAAUUUGAUAUUUAAUAGCUUUUCCUUAAUCCCUCAUUAUCCAAGAUAUUUGCUUAUCCAAGCUUCUGCCGGCCCGUUUAGCUUGGAUAAGUGAGACUCUACUGUAUUAAAAUCUAUUAUGUGCCUGGGGGAAAAAGGCCCUGUCUUGUUUAUCCAACAUUCUCUCUCUUGGUGGCCAAACAGUGGUUCAUACAAGAUAAUAAAUAAUGCAAGCAACGUGUUAACAAACAAUACAGUAAAUAAAACAGUAUGCACACUAAUAAUAAGUAACUAAGUAAAGCAAAGAAAUUGGAACAGGAAUGCAUAUCUGACACCGUGGUGAGCAAAAUGCUACCAUGAGACGCAUGCAGCCUGCAGCGCCAAAUACAGUAGAGUCUCACUAAUCCAAGCUAAACGGGCCGGCAGAAGCUUGGAUAAGCGAAUAUCUUGGAUUAUAAGGACUGAUCAAGGAAAAGCCUAUUAUACAUCAAAUUAGGUUAUGAUUUUACAAAUUAAGCACCAAAACUUCAUGUUAUACAACAAAUUUGACAGAAAAAGUAGUUCAAUACGCAGUAAUGUUAUGUUGUAAUUACUGUAUUUAUGAAUUUAGCACCAAAAUAUCACGAUAUAUUGGAAACAUUGACUACAAAAAUGGCUUGGAUUAUCCAGAGGCUUGGAUAAGCGAGGCUUGGAUUAGUGAGACUCUACUGUAUAGUUUUUCAAAGCAAAAAAUUGCACCAAAGUGUCCUCUAGGUUAGGGGGAACUUUCGUAUUUGCCCCUUCUGUGGGCAGCAAGAUUUUGCAAAAAAUUCAAAAUGUUUUGGGGUUGUUUUUUUUUUUGCUCCCAAAUUCCCUCUAGGAAAUGCGUGUCAUUUCCCCCCACUUUUGGGUACUCUAUGGGCCAAUGUAUGCCUGGGGAAGACUGAUGUGAACAGGAAGUGAAAAGGAAGUGACUCCCUAUUGUUCGAAAACAUCCCCUCCUGUGGCUAAAAUAGGCCAGAAAAACAUUUGAAAAGGUUGAAAAAUCUCCAGAGGGUGCCGGUGGCCAUAUGGUUGCAAAAAAGGAUUUGUUUUUUUGGGGAGGGGUACUGCCCUCUAGUCUUCCCUAUUGCUUUUUCCUGAUUAGCACAUAUGCCCAUGUUUCUAAACUACCUAGUAGUAGUAAUAACAAUAACAACAUUUUUUAUUUAUUACCUGCCUCUCUUGGUGCUCCAUGGCAAGGUACAAUAAAGUCAAAAACAUAUAAAGAUAAAAUAGAUACAACGGGGCAAUUCCAACUUGGAACUAACUAUUGUUACUUAUAUAACCAUCCUGCUUAGGCUCAGGUGACUUGGGGACAGGUGAUGGCAUUUACUGUUGCCAUCCUGUUGCCAUCAUAGCUGCAACCAUGGAGUGCAAAAUUGCUCCUGGUCAUUGAUUUUUGCCAUUGCUGGGCAGUGGAGCCCUUCCUACCACCAAGUACAGACAUUGACUCAUUGCCACAGCAUCUGAACAUGCAGAUUCUCCCAGGGUUGAUUCGGAGUCCUCCGCUCUACAUCCACCCUGAGGGAUGUGGCCCAUGUAGAUGCAACCCCAGCUUCCCCGACUUAAACCACAGCAAGUACUAAAGCUGUGCAGUACAAUCCCAUGCCUGCCCAUGCCUACUUAAAAGCAAAUCCCAUUCAGUUCAAUGGGCCCAGUUCCCAGGUAAGUGAGUGCACAAUUACAUCCUUAGCUGAUCUAACAAAGCCACUGAUGUAAACCCACAUAAGCUUGCAAUCGUCUUAAUUUAUUUAGAUGUAUGGCCCUGCUAAGAAUCAAGAGAGGCAUGGGUCAGAGUUGCUACAUAAAGGCUCUUGUGUGUGUUGAAGCAGCGAAAGCUAAAUCGUUAUUUGCUGACCUUUCCAUGACUUUAGUUUCUUCACUGCUCCUUCUGCUGUGAAAUUGGGGAGGGGAAGAAAUGCGCAAGGACUGGGCUCCAACGAAACAAUAAUCCAUAGCAAACUGAGCAGGGUGGUAAAGAGAGAUCGGGAGGGGGUGAGUGGGAGGAAUGAGGAAGGUGCAUCGGCUCUGCAUAGCAAGCCAUGUUCAGCUCCUGAUUCUUGUUAUGUGCCAUCAUUCAUUGCAUUGUGCUUUUGGGCACUCUGAAAGUCUCACUGGGAGGGAGGACAAGGACAAGCAGGACAUAAUGCUGUGGAGCCGUACAUUUCUGUUGCUACGCAGCCUCCCUGAGCCUGGUGCCCUCCAGGUGUGUCUGAUGGUCCCCAGAUGGCAUCGGCAUGUCCUACUUUGCAAAACCAUUCGGUGAAAGAUGGACACAAACUCAUCUGUAUCUUCUAUUUUAUAGAGAAGUUUAUCAUGUUAAACAUUAUAUAUGUUUUGAAAGAUGUCAGUAAAAUUAAUAAUUAUAUAUUUUUAAAAGAUAACAAUUGGGCCGGGCUGUGGCGCAGGCUGUUGAGCAACCAGCUGCAACCAGCUGAAAUGAAUCACUCUGACCAGGAGGUCAUGAGUUCGAGGCCAGCUCAGAGCCCCGUGUUUGUCUUGUCUUUGUUCUAUGUUAAGGCAUUGAAUGUUUGCCUUAUAUGUGUAAUGUGAUCCGCCCUGAGUCCCCUUCGGGAUGAGAAGGGCGGAAUAUAAAUACUGUAAAUAAAAAAAUAAAUAAAUAAACAUAAAUUAUGCAAGGUAA